rnacentral:rRNA from 1 species
UAAGGAAUAUUGCUCAAUGGGAGAAAUCCUGAAGCAGCAACGCCGCGUGGAGGAUGAAGGGACUAUGACUUGUAAACUCCUGUAAAGAAGGAAAAAAUUCCCAUUAGAUGGGAGAUGAUGGUACUUCUGGAGUAAGCCCCGGCUAACUACGUGCCAGCAGCCGCGGUAAUACGUAGGGGGCAAGCGUUGUCCGGAUUUACUGGGUGUAAAGGGUGCUCAGGCGGAUUUGUAAGUCAGAGGUGAAAUCUUACAGCUUAACUGUGAAACUGCCUGUGAUACUGCAAGCCUAGAGUAUGGAAUAGAGUGAUUGAAUAUCUGGUGUAGCAGUGAAAUGCGUAGAUAUCAGAUAGAACACCAAUGGCGAAGGCAGUCACUUGGUCCAUUACAGACGCUAAAGCACGAAAGCGUGGGUAGCAAAC